rnacentral:rRNA from 1 species
UUCCAGACUCCUACGGGAGGCAGCAGUGAGGAAUAUUGGUCAAUGGGCGAGAGCCUGAACCAGCCAAGUCGCGUGAAGGAUGACGGCCCUACGGGUUGUAAACUUCUUUUGUCAGGGAGCAAUUGGGUCCACGCGUGGGCUUAGCGAGAGUACCUGAAGAAAAAGCAUCGGCUAACUCCGUGCCAGCAGCCGCGGUAAUACGGAGGAUGUGAGCGUUAUCCGGAUUUAUUGGGUUUAAAGGGUGCGUAGGCGGAAUAUCAAGUCAGCGGUAAAAAUUCGGGGCUCAACCCCGUCGUGCCGUUGAAACUGGCAGUCUCGAGUUGGAGAGAAGUAUGCGGAAUGCGCGGUGUAGCGGUGAAAUGCAUAGAUAUCGCGCAGAACUCCGAUUGCGAAGGCAGCAUGCCGGCUCCACACUGACGCUGAGGCACGAAAGCGUGGGUAUCGAACAGGAUUAGAUACCCGGGUACG